CACACACUCCCACAGCAACUUAGGUGUGAUUGGUGGGAGAGGACAGCAGCGGAUGUUAAGGACAGAUGCCAACCUGAUCCUGGAGUGAGGUGGGCCAUGAGAAUCCUAGACUAUGCAAAUUAGAGGGAUGCUUAGCCCUCCCUGGUUCAGCCUCUCUUGGGUUACAGAUGGGAAACUGAGGCCCAGAGUGGCAGCCACUCUCUCAAGGUCCCAGACUCUGGGCUGCCCAUCAAAAGGUGAUGGGUAAUGAUGAAUUGCUGGGGAUGCAGGGUAACCCCAAAGGCAGGGAGGGCCAGACUGCCCACAUACACACAAGCACAAGCACAACCAUGAUACGGGUCACCCUCCCCACCAGCACACAGGCCGAGAUGGUGUACGCAUCAUCCCUCCUGCCAACACAGCAAGAGUGCUUUUCCUUCUUUCUGCUGCUAAGCACCCUCAGGAACGAGGCCUCGAGGGUGACGGGAGGUGGGAGAAGCCCAAGGCUGACCCAGGCCCACUCUGUUGGGUUCAUCCAUCCUCCAAAUCCAUCUUUGGAGGCUGAAUUCACACACAAAGCCGUUGUGAGAUGGGAGCUCUGAAGAUGCGGACCCAGACCCAGAAACAGACUGUUUCUCCAGGGCCAACUUUGUGCCAGGAAUUUUCACCCCAUGUCGUUUCACUUACACUCUCCUCUGGUCACGACGUCCCUGCAAGAGAGGUAUUAUCAACCCAUCUUACAGACGAGGAAACUGAGGCCCAGAGAUGUAGCAUGAGGGUCACCCUUGGCAAGUUAUUCUCCUCCCCAGUAUCCCAGAAUGGCCCAUCUGGCUGCUGCCUUCUAGAGGAAAAGUCCUAGCUGGGGUCCUUUACACUCCAGGAGACUCCCAAGGGGCAGGGAUGUGCUGGCAGGGCUUGGCAUGGUCUGAGGCUCGCAGGGAAGCCAUGGCUACAUUUUUGGAUUUUACUCCACCCCCACUCCCCACCUCUUCUCAACCCCACACACCCUUCCCUCAGGGCUUCUGCCUGCAGGGACAUCUGGGCACAGGAAUGGCCACAGUCAAAGGGCCCAGGGAGAGGGCUGCAGGCACCUCCUCCUGCUUCUCACCCUCAGAAGAGUCUCAGCCCUUAAAGGACUCUCCACCCAGGAGCUCGGGACCAGGCCUGAGGCCCCCUGCUCCACUGGCUUGUCCCUUCAUUUCACUGGGAUAGAGGAGUCAGAUGAGGGAGGGGUCCAUCCCCUUGGAGCUGUUUUGUUUUUCUUUCUGUGACACAAUCUACCUCAGCCAGUCUCUCCCCUAGCAGAACUGACCCCCCUGGUCCUCUGCCUCCUGUCCCCUGACCCCCACCCCAGUCUGGAUGUUCAGUCCUUCCCUGUCCUUCCCACCCUGCCAGGGUCCUUGCAGCCCAGAGGGUCCCUGAGGGUUCCUUAAGCCACCUGCCCUCCACAUCCAUUAGACAGGAGAAAGUGAGACCCAGAGAGGACCAAGGACUCACCAAAGGCCACACAGGAAGUCAGUGGCAGUUAGGAUUUCCCUGGGGAUGAGAGGUAGUUGGGUGUGUCUUAAUUUUGCCAGGAACAGAAGAGAACAGGAUGCUUUGGGUACCAAAUAUGGCAGGCCCUGCCCUCAGUUACCUCUAACCCCAGGAGACCAGUGUCCCCAUCUCCAGGGCAGACUUCUGUCUACCUGUUUUCUUAGAACUGACCCCCACGCUGUUGACUGUGUUCCCCAAACCUCUGCAGGCACCACACACACCCACAUCACGGCGCCUCCUGGCACUGAUGUGCCAUGUGCCUUGUAACUGUCACCCCAGCUGAACAGCACAGACCUCCCCACUCCCCCACACAGGGCUCCCCAAUGAGGGAGCCUUGCUUGAUCCCCUCCUGUCAUCUGCCUCAUUCUUGUGUCUCCCCCAAAUCUGCCUUACCCCCAGCCAGCUCCCUGCUACACCUGUGUCCCACAGAGGCAUGUCACCCAUGAGAGUCGGGAAAGACAGAGGGCAGGGAAGGUGAGGCCUGGGGAAAGUCCAGGCCUCUGGAUAAGGGCUGAGGGAGCUGGGAAUAUCCAGGGAAGGUCUCGCUUGCAGUCAACACCCUCCUAAGUACUCGAGUUCUGCAGGUUCUUCCCUUGGAAUUAAUCUGGACCUGGAGUCCACAGAAGCCUCAGACAAUAGGGAGAAGGUUUUCUGGGACGAAGGCUGCAUGGGAUGCAAACUCAAAUGCCUCGAGAUAAUGAAACUAAGAGUAAUGGAGACAAUAGGGAGUGUUGGGGACUCUGGCAGACAGGAGAGUGAGUGUGUGCCCUGCCUGUAGGUACUAAAAUUCAAAUGUUUGGGAAACUGCUGGCCACUCAUAUUUGGCCCACGUGCCACCAGUUUGAGACUUACGGUUCAAAAUGUUGAGAAGGUUCUGGAGUGUCCUGCCAAGUGGAAACCCCUCAGCGGAAGUCAGGGACAGAGGCUGUGGCUCCCUCUGAGACUUUGCUAGUCCAACCCUAAAUCCCCAUCACCUGGCUAUCUGAGAACUGAGCCCACUGCCCUCUCAGCUGAAAAGGGAAAUCUGGGGGGUCCACAGGGUCCCUGGUUUGGGAAUCAUCUGAUAAGGGCUACAGGCCCCUCCAGUGCCUCAUGGGGUUAGAGGCUGCUGGAGUCUUCUCCAGCUUGGGGGCCCCUGGUUAGGAGGAAUCUACAUUGGGUUGCAGGGGAGUCCAGGUGCAGGAUGUGGACUGAAAGCCAGGACCCAAGAGUCCCAUUCUGUGCUGGCCCCUGCCACCUUUGGCACCUGUCUCCCUCCCAGUUCAAGCUGUGGUGGGGCCUGCAGUAGAGGUUGGUAGGGGGAGCUGUAGUUUCUAUAUUAAAGUGCUUUGCAGUGUCUCAAUGGAAGGGAACAAGUGGGUGUCAAGCCGCAUGGGCAGUAGUAGGGUUGGGGUUUGAGCCCCCUUCCCAACCAUAGAGGCUUCUGAGACCUGGGGCUGGGGAGGAAAGGAGCUUCAAUGUGCCAUUCUGGUUGGGGAGAGGAUAGGACAUUUCUGGGUCCUUGGCUGCUGCCGGUAGAGGUAUGGGGAGGAAAAACUCUAGAGUGGGAGAUGUGGAAGUGGAAAAGGAAGGCCCUGUCCAGGCCUGGCCUGGUUUCUGGAGACAGAAAACUCCCCAGGGGACAGAGAGGUUACCCCCUUGUGCUUAGCUUCUGCCACCCUUCCCUUCUCUGGAGGAGAAGGCUGCCCUCUCCUCAGCAACCCUGGCCUUUAUUCUAUGCAUAACCACUGCAAGGGCACCCCUGGCCAGGCUGAAUGGGUGGGGGUCCCAGGGCACCUGCAAUAAUCUCAGAAUGGAGGGUAUCCUGGGACAAAGAGGGGGUACAGAAGGUGCCAGGGGGGAAAAGGUGAUUCCUCCAUCUCUCUCUCACCCAAAUCCCCCCAGAUCGAAUCUGACCCUUUUCCCUGGUCUCCAUUGUGCUAAACCACCGAACUUGGAGGAGCCUCAUAUAAACAUAGCCCCCAGCCCCACUGGCUUUCCGAACCCAUCAUGAAAUAGCUGGAAGGUAUCUGAACCGUUCCCAUAGCUCCCUCAUUAUUUUCUUCCCUGAGGAUCCUGUGGUUUAGGAGAUUUUUCUCCCAAACCAGCCUCAUUUCUUGAAGAAGAAUUCAUUUUCCCAUAUUAAAUUAACUCAAGCUGAGCUUCUGAUUGCAGAUAAAUGUUUCUAAGGCCUCAAGUCAACUUCUAGGGCUUGAAGGUGGGGGAAUAUAUGUAUUUUAUUGAGUUGCUUAAUACAAAAUUCUCAAAAGCACUUGUGGGCACUCAUUCCUGCCUUCACAGGCCCUCAGGGUCUGGGACCCCACGUUGGGAAUCAAUGGUUUAGACAUCCAGCAUCCUAUUUUACUGAAGGGGCAAGCCCAGAGAUGGGAGAUGGCCAGCCCAAGGUCACACAGCAAGUUGGUGGCAGGGUGAGACCAGAACCCGGUUCUUUUGAGGGUCCCACCAGAAUAUCCCCAGCCCUGAUCCUCCCCUCCAUGCCCCUGGAACUCUAGGAAUCACUAGCCAUGCCUGAGGGGCUAAUCUCCCUCUGUCAGCACAAUUCCGAGUGAUUCUUCCCCUCCCUGUCGUCUCUUCCUCCCUAACGGGCCCUCACCCCUGUCCUCUUCUGUUUCCUUUUCCUGGUCCCACCUCCUGGUAUUUACUACAUCUGUGCCAUCCCUCAUCCCCCUGACCCCCAUUCACCCUCCGAGCUUCCCCCAGGAGGGGGAGGGGGAGGGGGCCCCGAGCUGGGGCCUCUUUACUGAGACUCUUUUGUACACCACAAACUUUUUGUAUAUUUUUAAUUUUGCUGCGACAUGAGAUAUUAAAAGUCAUUUCAGUACGUGC
rnacentral:lncRNA from 1 species